rnacentral:tRNA from 1 species
GCGGGUAUAGUACAGCGGUAGUACGGUACCUUGCCAAGGUACAGAUACGGGUCCGACUCCCGUUACCCGCU